GUAGGUGGCAAGCGUUGUCCGGAAUUAUUGGGCGUAAAGCGCGCGCAGGCGGUUCUUUAAGUCUGAUGUGAAAGCCCACGGGCUCAACCGUGGAGGGUCAUUGGAAACUGGAGAACUUGAGUACAGAAGAGGAAAGCGGAAUUCCACGUGUAGCGGUGAAAUGCGUAGAGAUGUGGAGGAACACCAGUGGCGAAGGCGGCUUUCUGGUCUGUAACUGACGCUGAGGCGCGAAAGCGUGGGGAGCAAACCGGAUUAGAUACCCUGGUAGUCCACGCCGUAAACGAUGAGUGCUAAGUGUUAGGGGGUUUCCGCCCCUUAGUGCUGCAGCUAACGCAUUAAGCACUCCGCCUGGGGAGUACGGCCGCAAAGGCUG
rnacentral:rRNA from 1 species